CCAGCAGCCGCGGUAAAACGUAGGAGGCGAGCGUUAUCCGGAUUUACUGGGCGUAAAGCGCGCGCAGGUGGCUUCGUGAGUCGGACAUGAAAGCUCCUGGCUUAACUGGGAGAGGCUGUUCGAUACUGCGGGGCUUGAGGUUGGGAGAGGGACGCGGAAUUCCCGGUGUAGUGGUGGAAUGCGUAGAUAUCGGGAGGAACACCAGUGGCGCAAGCGGCGUCCUGGCCCACACCUGACGCUGAGGUGCGAAAGCGUGGGUAGCAAACAGGAUUAGAUACCCUGGUAGUCCACGCUGUAAACGAUGUCAACUGGGUGUCGGUAGUUUUACACUAUCGGUGCCGAAGCUAACGCG
rnacentral:rRNA from 1 species